rnacentral:RNase_P_RNA from 1 species
CAAGUGGACCGGAUGGUCGCCCCGGCUCGCCGGGGAGGAAAGUCCGAACUCCGCAGAGCAGUGUGCCGGAUAACGUCCGGGCUUCCAGCGUCAAGGCUGGAAGACGGCCAGUGCCACAGAAAACAUACCGCCCCGCGCAAGCGGUGGUAAGGGUGAAAAGGUGCGGUAAGAGCGCACCGCCUGGGCAGCAAUGUUCAGGGCAUGGUAAACCCCACACGGAGCAAGACCAAAUAGGGAGGGAGCCCGCUUCGGCGGACACGCACCGGCUCGGCGCGUUAGAACCUCCGGGUAGGUCGCAUGAGCGUGGCAGCAAUGUCCCGCCAAGAGGAAUGACCGUCACUCCGCGCAAGCGGAAUACAGAAUUCGGCUUACAGGUCCACUUGCCUU